rnacentral:rRNA from 1 species
CACGCCCUAAACGAUGUCAACUAGUCGUUCGGAGCAGCAAUGCACUGAGUGACGCAGCUAACGCGUGAAGUUGACCGCCUGGGGACUACGGCCGCAAGGCUAAAACUCAAAGGAAUUGAC